GUGUCAGCAGCCGCGGUAACACGUAGGAUCCGAGCGUUAUCCGAAUUUACUGGGCGUAAAGCGCUUGCAGGCGGUUUGGUAAGUUGGAUGUGAAAGCUCCUGGCUCAACUGGGAGAGGUCGUUCAAAACUACCAGACUAGAGGACGGUAGAGGGAGGUGGAAUUCCCGGUGUAGUAGUGAAAUGCGUAGAUAUCGGGAGGAACACCAGAGGCGAAGGCGGCCUCCUGGACCGCACCUGACGCUAAGAAGCGAAAGCUAGGGGAGCGAACGGGAUUAGAUACCCCAGUAGUCC
rnacentral:rRNA from 1 species